rnacentral:lncRNA from 1 species
UUACGUGCUGCGCAUUCCAGCGCUUUGAUAGAUGGCUGGGCUGAACUUGGCCUGCACUGAGCCAAGGAGAUCAAAACUUGGACAGAGUCUUUGUUCUGUCCCGUGGUGUCCGCGACCUGGAGUAGCCAGCCUGUCCGCUCAGGGGCCCCUCUAUGGGAAGACAGAGCCUUGAGUUUGCAGAUAGAGCAACAAAGGUUUGCUUAUGGUGUGGUGGCCUCCCCUAAAAAAUAGCUUUUUUGUGUCAGGCUAUUUAUCAUGCGCUCAUGUCACCGACUCAGGGUUUGCUGUGGCAGUCCCGGCUCAGACCGCGCGCGGAGCUUGUUAUCUGUGAAUGUGAGUACUGCUUUGAAGCCCAGGCAAGCAGUCUUUUACAAGCUCAAGAAAGAGAUGUUUGCUGCCCUGAAAAACCACUUUGAAUCUACUCUCUGGACAGAGUUGACUCAUCUAGAAUGGUAGGUUCCUUCUCAGUCCCUCCAAUCACAGCUACCUUUGGUAAUGAUUAGAGACUGCCUUGUCCUUGAUCCUGAUGGGCCAAAAGCAAGUCUGCUUCUUCAGGACUCAACAAUUACUGUGUUAAUUUGUUGUGCUCUGUUGUGAGACUUGUUAAAGAGUCAAUAUAGUAAGUAUUCUCAAAAUGUUAUUGGGGGAACGACAUUGCUGUGUAUGUAACUUUGUACAUUCCUCAGUCUGCAAAAGUGAUUGGUUCUUAGUAUGUUGUGCCCCACAGAGAGGCAUGUUCUUCCAUGUAGGUUGCUGGCUCCUUCUUUGGACAUUCAGUAGAAUAAUGCAGCAGUGAGCCUAUGGAAAGGACAAACUACUUGAAAAGUCUGCAUUGGAUCCUUGCUACAGCUGUUGGCAGGGCCCAAGUAUUUUUCAUCUUUACAGUUGACACAGCAGGGUUAUAGCUUGAUGAUGUAAUGAUGCCUGAUCAAGUUAGUUGUGAGUGAUUGAAUAUUUGAGAAUUUAAGGCAUCAUUGGCUGAACAAAUUCCCAGCACAGAAUUGGAAGAGGGUCUGUGAGCUGUCAGUGCUCAGGUGGCUCAGACUACCUAAAAUACCAGAAUUUUGCUUUUCACUAAAAGUAUAAAAUCAAGAAUGAUGUUGAUGAUUUCAUCUUCAUAGGAAAACCUCAUUAACUAGCUAGGUAGUUAGACAUAUGUCUAUUGUUGAUUAAUCAAAAUGUAUCUUUAUAAUUAGUAAGCCUUUAAGCACAAAAUAUUUUUUAAAAGCUAUUAAUGUGGGGACUGGUGCUGUGUUGUUGCAGGUUCGAGUCUGGGUUACUCUGCUUCUGAUCCUGCUCCUGCCAAUGGGCUGGGCAAGCAGAAGAUGGGCCAAGUCCUUGGGUCCCUGCCACCCACAUGGGAGACCUGGAUGAAGCUCUUAGCUCCUGGCUUAAGACUGGUCUGGCUCUUGCCAUUUCAGACAUUUGAGGCGUGAACCAGCAGAUGGAAGACAUCUCUCUCUCUCUCUUCUUUUGUCUCUCUGUAUCUAUGACUUUCAAAUAAAUAAGUAAAUCUAAGAAAAAGCUAUUAAUCU